GACGAACGCUGGAGGCGUGCUUAACACAUGCAAGUCGAACGAUGAAAUGGAGCUUGCUCCAUGGAUUAGUGGCGAACGGGUGAGUAACACGUGAAUAACCUGCCCUUAAUUUUGGAAUAACCCAGGGAAACCUGGGCUAAUACCGGAUAAGUAAACCUGUGGCAUCACAUGGUUUUGGAAAGUUUUUCGAUUAAGGAUGGAUUCGCGGCCUAUCAGCUUGUUGGUGAGGUAAUGGCUCACCAAGGCGACGACGGGUAGCCGGCCUGAGAGGGUGAACGGCCACACUGGGACUGAGACACGGCCCAGACUCCUACGGGAGGCAGCAGUGGGGAAUAUUGCGCAAUGGACGAAAGUCUGACGCAGCGACGCCUCGUGAGGGACGAAGGUCCUCGGAUUGUAAACCUCUUUCAGCAGGGACGAAGCGAAAGUGACGGUACCUGCAGAAGAAGCACCGGCUAACUAUGUACCAGCCGCCGCUGUAA
rnacentral:rRNA from 1 species